rnacentral:rRNA from 1 species
AAUGAACGCUGGCGGCAGGCCUAACACAUGCAAGUCGAACGGAUCCUUCGGGAUUAGUGGCGGACGGGUGAGUAACGCGUGGGAACAUACCCAAAGGUACGGAAUAGCCUCGGGAAACUGGGAGUAAUACCGUAUGUGCUCGAAAGAGGAAAGAUUUAUCGCCUUUGGAUUGGCCCGCGUUGGAUUAGGUAGUUGGUGGGGUAAUGGCCUACCAAGCCGACGAUUCACAGCUGGUUUGAGAGGAUGAUCAGCCACACUGGGACUGGGACACGGCCCAGACUCCUACGGGAGGCAGCAGUGGGGAAUCUUAGACAAUGGGGGAAACCCUGAUCUAGCCAUGCCGCGUGAUCGAUGAAGGCCUUAGGGUUGUAAAGAUCUUUCAGGUGGGAAGAUAAUGACUGUACCACCAGAAGAAGCCCCGGCUAACUCCGUGCCAGCCGCCGCCGUAA